rnacentral:rRNA from 1 species
AUGAACGCUGGCGGCGUGCCUAAUACCUGCAAGUCGAGCGAACAGACGAGGAGCUUGCUCCUCUGACGUUAGCGGCGGACGGGUGAGUAACACGUGGAUAACCUACCUAUAAGACUGGGAUAACUUCGGGAAACCGGAGCUAAUACCGGAUAACAUGUUGAACCGCAUGGUUCAACAGUGAAAGACGGUCUUGCUGUCACUUAUAGAUGGAUCCGCGCCGCAUUAGCUAGUUGGUAAGGUAACGGCUUACCAAGGCAACGAUGCGUAGCCGACCUGAGAGGGUGAGCGGCCACACUGGAACUGAGACACGGUCCAGACUCCUACGGGAGGCAGCAGUAGGGAAUCUUCCGCAAUGGGCGAAAGCCUGACGGAGCAACGCCGCGUGAGUGAAGAAGGUCUUCGGAUCGUAAAACUCUGUUAUUAGGGAAGAACAAAUGUGUAAGUAACUAUGCACGUCUUGACGGUACCUAAUCAGAAAGCCACGGCUAACUACGUG